rnacentral:rRNA from 1 species
CCUACGGGUGGCAGCAGUGAGGAAUAUUGGUCAAUGGGCGCAAGCCUGAUCCAGCCACGUAGCGUGAAGGAUGACUGCCCUCCGGGUUGUAAACUUCUUUUAUAAAGGAAUAGAGUGAGGCCCGUGUGCCUUUUUGUAUGUACUUUAUGAAUAAGGAUCGGCUAACUCCGUGCCAGCAGCCGCGGUAAUACGGAGGAUCCGAGCGUUAUCCGGAUUUAUUGGGUUUUACGGGAGCGUAGAUGGGGUGUUAAGUCAGUUGUGAAAGUUUGCGGCUCAACCGUAAAAUUGAAAGUGAUACUGGCAGUCUUGAGUACAGUUGAGGUAGGCGGAAUUCGUGGUGUAGCGGUGAAAUGCUGAGAUAUCACGAAGAACUCCGAUUGCGAAGGCAGCUUACUAAACUGCCACUGACAUUGAUGCUCGAAAGUGUGGGUAUCAAACAGGAUUAGAUACCCCUGUAGUC